UACGUAGGGUGCGAGCGUUAAUCGGAAUGACUGGGCGUAAAGGGCGCGUAGGCGGAUGGCACAGUCAGAUGUGAAAUUCCCGGGCUUAACCUGGGGGCUGCAUUUGAUACGUGUGAUCUAGAGUGAGGAAGAGGGUCGUGGAAUUCCCAGUGUAGAGGUGAAAUUCGUAGAUAUUGGGAAGAACACCGGUGGCGAAGGCGGCGACCUGGUCCUUGACUGACGCUGAGGCGCGAAAGCGUGGGGAGCAAACAGG
rnacentral:rRNA from 1 species